rnacentral:rRNA from 1 species
CCCUUAGAUGUUCUGGGCUGCACGCGCGCUACACUGAUGCGCUCAACGAGUUUUAACCUUGCCUGGAAAGGUUGGGUAAUCUUUUUAAAACGCAUCGUGAUGGGGAUAGAUUAUUGCAAUUAUUAAUCUUCAACGAGGAAUUCCUAGUAAGCGCGAGUCAUCAGCUUGCAUUGAUUACGUCCCUGCCCUUUGUACACACCGCCCGUCGCUCCUACCGAUUGAAUGAUCCGAUGAAUAUCAUGGAUUGAGGAUGCAAGUAGGUUCGCCUAUCUUCAUCUUCGAGAAGUGAAGUAAAUCUUAUCAUUUAGAGGAAGGAGAAGUCGUAACA